AUAUUACUCCCUUCGUCCCAAAAUUCUUGUCUUAGGUUUGUCUAAUAGUAGAUGUAUCUAAAAACUAAAAUGUGACUAGAUACAUUCAUAUAUAGACAAAUCUAAGACAAGAAUUUUAGGACGGAGGGAGUAUUAA
rfam:Hordeum vulgare subsp. vulgare, WGS project CAJW01000000 data, contig: morex_contig_368581